rnacentral:siRNA from 1 species
UUCUCUUUUUCUUGACCUUGU